GUGGCUAUGGUGUAAUGGUUAACACUAGAGUUUGUGGAACUCUCAAUCUGGGUUCAAUUCCCAGUAGCCACCCA
rnacentral:tRNA from 1 species